GAACACACUGCGGUGUUUUUAGAAGCAUGCCUUUCCAUUGCAUGGCACUCAGCAGCAGUAUUCAUAGGAUUUUUGAUCACAGCUUGUAAGGACACGCAUGAAAGAGGAUUUCCUGAGCUGCUUCAGAAGGUGCCAAGAAAAAUGGGAUAAACGUACUCGAAGAAAGUGGAAGCAUUGUGAGGGGGAUUAAUGGCAAUGUAUCUUUUAAAUUUUUAAAAAUUGAAACAUUGUAUAUUUUGUCAUUCCUUGUAUUAAGUUUCAUAGUUAUACCAAGAGUUUACUAGGCACCCUCUCCAAGUCUUCUCUUUCCUCUUAGCCAGUAUUAACAUUUUCUUCUCUGUCCUUUCUUUGUUUUUUAUUUCUUAUUUCUCAUUCUUUUUUCUCAUUUCUUUUUAUUCUCAUACACAGAGUGGUGGUUGUGAGAACCUUGUGGCGUCUAUAAGUGACUUCAGGUCGUCUUCGAGGUGAAGCAUCAUAUUUCCUUUGCAAUGAAACAGUCAAGAUCUCUGCUACUUUGGAAGCCACAUGCUGAAGAUGGUAGCAAGUCAUCAGUGUGGGUCCCAGAAUGACUGCAUGGAGGAAUGCUGAACCCAUCGACCUGGACACUCUUAGGACUGUUUUAGUAUCUUAUUUCUUCUUAGCCAAGGUUUACUAACCAACCUCAGAAAAAAGAGUCUUGUAGGCUGGGAGGAGAACGAAGAAGCCAAUCCAUGUUCUUCUGUGAGCCAGUGGCAGCCAUGGGCGGCAGGAGGAGAACCAAGAAGCCAACCUGCACCCUCCUGUGAGCCAGCAUGUGGAUGGCAGACAAGAAGGGUACUGCCCAGCUCCACCCUGUAAGCAACUGGCUGAUUUAGAGGAACACACGCUGAGAUGAUAGCAGCUGAAGUAAAAAAACAACUUAAUGCUUGUAUUGUUUGGUUGAUUUUGCAGGCCAGAAGCAGGUAGUCUGAGCAUCUAUUCAGAGGAUAACAAUAUGCAAUACAGCAAGAAUGAGAGAUUUUCUUCUAUCUUGCUUUUGAAAUCCAAUACUGUUCUGUUUGUUUUAUUUCCUUUAAAAUAAAAAAAUUACUUAAAAAAAGACAGAAAAAAAAAAGAAAGAAAAAAGUCUCUAUGGUUAUACCUGUUCAGUAACUAAAUGUUUCUUUCUUAGUAAGCUGAGUUUUGAUUAGGUGGAAAAUUUCUAAGAAAGUAAGAGGGGGGGGGAGUAUAAACUACAGAAAUCUUUAAUGACCACAGGUUUCUUGAUGGAUUAUAAAAUUUUUGGCUGUUUCACAGGUAUUUCUUUUCAAGGACAAUGACAUCAUUGUUGAAAUUUUUAAAAAAUUGGUCUACUUUAUUCUAUAUUUGGUACCACAUAUUGUUUUGGUUGAGCAGCAAUUGACUUUUCUAUUUUUACUGGGAAAUUAUGACAUAAUUAUUUUUAGGAGACAGUGUCUGGUUCUAUUGUCUAUGAAACUCCACACACGAUCAUAACAAUAAGUUUUUUUUACUUUUCUCUAAACUUCUAACAGUGGAUGUAUUUGGUACAGAAUGGGCUCAUCAGUAAACAUUUUGCUAUAUUCUGAAACACAUUUUAGAGUAAAAGCCUAAAAUAGGUAAUAGAUAUCAACAAAUGAAAUAAUUUGGUAUCCUACUAGACAGCAGAAUAAGUAUGGCUUAGUAAUAGAAAAAUUUUCCCUGGAAAUAUUAACAUGCAUAACUGUAAAUAAAAAAUGAGUUAAUAUUUGA